rnacentral:rRNA from 1 species
UACGGGGGGGGCAAGCGUUGUUCGGAAUUACUGGGCGUAAAGGGCCAGUAGGCGGCCAACUAAGUCGGAUGUGAAAUCCCCAGGCUUAACCUGGGAACUGCAUCCGAUACUGGAUGGCUUGAAUUCGGGAGAGGGAUGCAGAAUUCCAGGUGUAGCGGUGAAAUGCGUAGAUAUCAGGGAGAACACCAAUGGCGAAGGCAGCUCUCUGGGACGGUACUGACGCUGAGACGCGAAAGCGUGGGGAGCGAACAGG